GAGUUUGAUUAUGGCUCAGGAUGAACGCUGGCGGCGUGCUUAACACAUGCAAGUCGAACGAACGACUAUUAACAGAACCUUUCGGGGCGAAGAAUAUAGAAGUUAGUGGCGGACGGGUGCGUAACGCGUGGGUAAUCUGCCUUUGUCAAAGGAAUAACUAUUCGAAAGAAUAGCUAAAACCGUAUAACAUAUUAAUAGGGCAUCCUAAUAAUAUCAAAACGAUAGUGGACAAAGAUGAGCCCGCGUCUGAUUAGCUAGUUGGUGAGAUAAAAGCCCACCAAGGCAACGAUCAGUAGCCGACCUGAGAGGGUGAACGGCCACAUUGGAACUGAGACACGGUCCAAACUCCUACGGGAGGCAGCAGUGGGGAAUAUUGCACAAUGGGGGGAACCCUGAUGCAGCAACGCCGCGUGAGUGAAGAAGGCAUUCGUGUCGUAAAACUCUGUAGUAGGGGAAGAAAGAAAUGACAUACCCUAAAAGAAGCCCCGCA
rnacentral:rRNA from 1 species